rnacentral:lncRNA from 1 species
UUUUAAAGUGCUAACAUCAUCACAUUCUAGCACACUGCAGUAUGGUUUUCUAAGAAUAAAGAUAUCCAAAAGAGAAACUAAUAAGGCAUAUCUAAGUAGGGUGUUUGGUAAUCAUGAGAUAACGCUCUAGAGGGAUUAGAAGCAUGGGGCUGCAUUUCUGUCAAAUUAUUAGCUCAUGAUAACCCCUUCCUUCUUGUCACACCUGACUGCAUAAUUCCUAUCCAAUUAAAAAUGACAUUUUCGGGUGAUUCUAGCAAUUUAGGUGCAAACUUUCUUUUAUUUCACUAUCUAUUUGGAAGACAGAUCACUGAAAACCAUAGAUGGCUUCGUUCCUCAGAUACUCUCAUACAUACUAUUAAUAGGUCAUUCAAGGAUCUAUCACUGCCUGGUCUUGAAGAGACUUAAGCCAUUGCUUCAUCCAGCCUCACAUCACUACCAUUGCUAUUUAAUUCAUACUGACAAUUGAUGACC